rnacentral:rRNA from 1 species
GGCAUCUUUUUGUUUUUAAAAGACCUUCUUACGAAGGUAUGCUUAAAGAGGGGCUUGCGCCACAUUAGUUAGUUGGUAGAGUAAAAGCCUACCAAGACGAUGAUGUGUAGCUGGACUGAGAGGUUGAACAGCCACAUUGGGACUGAGACACGGCCCAAACUCCUACGGGAGGCAGCAGUAGGGAAUUUUCGGCAAUGGAGGAAACUCUGACCGAGCAACGCCGCGUGAACGAUGAAGUAUUUCGGUAUGUAAAGUUCUUUUAUUGAAGAAGAAAAAGUAGUGGAAAAACUAUAUUGACGUUAUUCAAUGAAUAAGCCCCGGCUAACUAUGUGCCAGCAGCCGCGGUAAGACAUAGGGGGCGAGCGUUAUCCGGAAUUAUUGGGCGUAAAGGGUGCGUAGGCUGUUAGAUAAGUCUAUAAUUUAAUUUCAGUGCUUAACGCUGUCUUGUUAUAGAAACUGUCUUGACUAGAGUGAGAUAGAGGCAAGCGGAAUUCCAUGUGUAGCGGUAAAAUGUGUAAAUAUAUGGAGGAACACCAGAAGCGUAGGCGGCUUGCUGGGUCUUUACUGACGCUGAGGCACGAAAGCGUGGGUAGCAAACAGGAUUAGAUACCCUGGUAGUCCACGCCGUAAACGAUGAGUACUAAGUGUCGGGGUAAAACUCGGUACUGAAGUUAACACAUUAAGUACUCCGCCUGAGUAGUACGUACGCAAGUAUGAAACUUAAAGGAAUUGACGGGACUCCGCACAAGCGGUGGAUCAUGUUGUUUAAUUCGAAGAUACACGAAAAAUCUUACCAGGUCUUGACAUACUCUGCAAAGCUAUAGAAAUAUAGUGGAGGUUAUCAGGGAUACAGGUGGUGCAUGGUUGUCGUCAGUUCGUGUCGUGAGAUGUUAGGUUAAGUCCUAAAACGAGCGCAACCCUUGUCGUUAAUUGCCAGCACAUAAUGGUGGGGACUUUAACGAGACUGCCAAUUAAACAUUGGAGGAAGGUGAGGAUUACGUCAAAUCAUCAUGCCCCUUAUGAUCUGGGCUACAAACGUGAUACAAUGGCUGUGACAAAGAGUAGCUGAAACGCGAGUUUUUAGCCAAUCUCAAAAAAGCAGUCUCAGUUCGGAUUGAAGUCUGUAACUCGACUUCAUGAAGUUGGAAUCGCUAGUAAUCGCGAAUCAGCAUGUCGCGGUGAAUACGUUCUCGGGGUUUGUACACACCGCCCGUCAAACCACGAAAGUUAGCAAUACCCGAAAGCAGUAGCUUAACUUCGCAAGAAGAGGGAACUGUCUAAGGUAGGGUUGAUGAUUGGGGUUAAGUCGUAACAAGGUAUCCCUACCGGAAGGUGGGGAUGGAUCACCUCCUUUCU